UACGGAGAAGGCAAGCGUUACCCGGAAUUAUUGGGUGUAAAGGGUGUGCAGGCGUCUCGGGAAGUUUUCGGUGAAAGCCUCCAGCUUAACUGGAGAAGGGCCGGAAAAACUCCCGGGAUUGAGUUCGGAAGAGGUUGGUGGAAUUCGUGGUGUAGCGGUGAAAUGCAUAGAUAUCACGAAGAACACCGGUGGCGAAGGCGGCCAACUGGUCCGAAACUGACGCUGAGGCACGAGAGCGUGGGGAGCGAACAGG
rnacentral:misc_RNA from 1 species